ensembl:miRNA MIR4643 microRNA 4643
GUGUGCCCUAGCAUUUAUAAUCAUGUGUUCAUUCACAUGAUCAUAAGUGGACACAUGACCAUAAAUGCUAAAGCACAC